rnacentral:tRNA from 1 species
GGUUGGCUAGCUCAGUUGGUUAGAGCGUCGAGCUAACAACUUGAAGGUCAUGGGUUUGACCCCUCUGCUGACCA